rnacentral:rRNA from 1 species
AGCGAACGCUGGCGGCGUACCUAACACAUGCAAGUCGAACGAGGAUCACGGGGUUAGCAAUAACCUCGUGGUUCUAGUGGCGCACGGGUGAGUAACACGUGGGUAACCUGCCCUGGAGACUGGGAUACCCCCUCGAAAGGGGGGCUAAUACCGGAUACGUUCCUUGGAUCGAAAGGUCUGAGGAGGAAAGGUGGCGAAAGCUGCCGCUCUUGGAGGGGCUCGCGGCCUAUCAGCUAGUUGGCGGGGUAACGGCCCACCAAGGCUAUGACGGGUAGCUGGUCUGAGAGGACGACCAGCCACACGGGGACUGAGACACGGCCCCGACUCCUACGGGAGGCAGCAGUGGGGAAUUUUCCGCAAGUGGGCGAAAGCCUGACGGAGUGACGCCGCGUGUGGGACGAAGGCCUUCGGGUCCGU